rnacentral:lncRNA from 1 species
UUGACUGUCAAAAAAUGAAGCUGAAGAGAAAAUUAGAAGCCAUAACUGAGUUAAAACAAAGUUAUAAAGUUCACACAAGAGGGAGAUGAAUUAAAGGAACAAUGUCAAGUUAUAUUAUCAAGGAAGCAGAAGCCCCAAAAACCAAUCGUUAUCCAUGUAAAUGUUAACACGGUAAAUAAGCAGAAAGAAAGCAAGGCAACAUAGUGAUAAAUUAAAUAAGUGGAAGAUGCAAACCUUAAAACCAGUCAAAUCAGGAACUACAUAGUUUGGUAACUUUUCCUGCAAUAUCACAUACCCAGCUGCAACAAUAUGCAGGAUUGCAAUCAAAUUAAUAGUAUAAAAACACUUUAACACAACAAACAUGUAACUUAGCAAAUUAUUUUAUAACAAUACCUAAAAUGUGCUUCGUGGUUUAAAAAACCACAUAGAAAAGCAAUGUA